GUCGUCCGAAGCUGAGCCUGCGGUCCAUUAGCUGGUUGGUGUGGUAAUGGCGCACCAAGGCGACGAUGGAUAGCCGGCCUGAGAGGGUGCUCGGCCACACUGGGACUGAGACACGGCCCAGACUCCGUACGGGAGGCAGCAGCUAAGAAUCUUCCGCAAUGGGCGAAAGCCUGACGGAGCGACGCCGCGUGAACGAUGAAGGCCGUGAGGUUGUAAAGUUCUUUUCCUGGGGGAGAAUAACAGCCGGAGGGAAUGCCGGUUGGAUGACGUGAACCAGGGAAUAAGCCCCGGCUAAUUACGUGCCAGCAGCCGCGGUAACACGUAAGGGGCGAGCGUUGUUCGGAUCUAUUGGGCGUAAAGGGCGUGUAGGCGGUAGUGCAAGUCUGGUGCGAAAUACCCCGGCUCAACCGGGGAGGCGCGCUGGAAACUGUGCUGCUUGAGUCUAGGAGGGGGAGCUGGAAUUCCUGGUGUAGGGGUGAAAUCUGUAGAGAUCAGGAAGAACACCGGCGGCGAAGGCGAGCUCCUGGCCAUAGACUGACGCUGAGGCGCGAAAGCGUGGGGAGCGAACAGGAUUAGAUACCCUGGUAGUCCACGCUGUAAACGAUGUGCACUAGGUGUUGGGACUGAUGAAAGUCUCGGUGCCGUAGCUAACGCGGUAAGUGCACCGCCUGGGGAGUAUGCUCGCAAGGGUGAAACUCAAAGGAAUUGACGGGGGCCCGCACAAGCGGUGGAGCAUGUGGUUUAAUUCGAUGAUACGCGAGAAACCUUACCAGGGCUUGACAUAGGCUUGACGGCUGUAGAGAUACAGCUUCCCUUCGGGGCGAGCUUACAGGUGCUGCAUGGCUGUCGUCAGCUCGUGCUGUGAAGUGUUGGGUUAAGUCCCGCAACGAGCGCAACCCUUGUCGUCUGUUGCCAACAGGUAAUGCUGGGGACUCAGGCGAUACUGCCGGUGACAAACCGGAGGCCGGUGGGGACGACGUCAAGUCAUCAUGGCCCUUAUGUCCUGGGCUACACACGUGCUACAAUGGCCGGUACAGAGCGAGGCGAAACCGCGAGGUGGA
rnacentral:rRNA from 1 species